CCAGCUGCGUCUUGUCCAGCUAAUACCGCUACGCCCAUUCCUCCUUACUAGACCGCCCUCACAGUAACGCCCCUUUGGCUGUUCAAGUUUCUGAAGUCAGUGACAUGCUGCCGAAUGACAACACAAGCGCCGCGCGGGACUUAUUAAAACGACUGGAUGGAUUUCGCUGGAUGGAUUUCGCUGCAGCGAUCACUCAACUGUCGAUAUAAGAAGUUGGGGUUGGGGUUGAUGAUCCACAUGAUGGUGAUGGACCAGGACAGCUCUGGACCUGGACCUCCUGACUGGCAGCUCCAUCCUCAACCUCCCUUCCUGUCCUUCACACAUGUGCAGGCAGAGGCAGUUUUCUGAAGGAUGGUUAAUGUCAGUACCAACAUGUUGUGAUGGAGGCUUCCACCUGAGCUGAACACAGAAACUUGCACACAGUGAUGGAAGCAGUCGUUCCUGUUCAGCAUUGAUAUGCCGGUAAUGGGUUUGAUGAGCCACAGCAUGGUGAUGGGCAAUCAGCAUCAGGACCAGGGCCGCUCACAAGGAGAACCUCCUGCCCUGCCUCUUCAUCCUCAACCUCCAAUCUUCCUGCUCUUCACACAUGUGCAGGCACAGAGCCAGUUUUCAGAGGGAGGGCUGAUGACACCAGCAACUUCGGAUCUGAACCUGAUCAACCCAGCACCAACCACUGUGCCGCUCCUCCUCUGCCAACUGCACCACAUGGCUCCACCAUCUCAAAAAGGCACAGACACUACUCCACUUCCUGCGAAGGAUGAGAGAAGAGCCGACCUCCCCACAACGGCACUCACCACCUUCUACAGGGGUGUCAUUGAGAGCAUCCUGACCAGCAGCCUCUCUGUCUGGCAUGGCAGCCGUCAAGCUGAAGACUAGGGGUGCAUCCCAAUAUGUGACCUUGCCUCCUCCACUUGUGCUUGUCUCCUCGU